ensembl:rRNA 5S_rRNA 5S ribosomal RNA
GCUUACGGCCACACCGCCUGGUUCACGCCCGAUCUAGUUUGAUCUCGGAAGCUAAGAUAGGUUGGGCCUGGUUAGUACUUGGAUGGGAGACCGCCUAGGAAUACCAGGUGCUGUAAGGC